rnacentral:tRNA from 1 species
GAAUCGAUCAGGCCGCCGGCUGGGUCCGUCGCCUUGCCACGGCCGCCAUCGGUGCCGUCCGUGUCGGCAGCGAUUCC